rnacentral:rRNA from 1 species
GACUUGACCUCAAAUCAG